rnacentral:lncRNA from 1 species
AUACAUAAAUACAAGCUCGUCCCAUCAAGCACUGUUUCUGAACUUAAGCCAUUAUUUAUCCUCAGCAACAUAUUUCUUCUAUGAUGUUAUAACAAGGGUUUCAGCUUCAUAAUUAAAUUGCAAAGGAGAAAAUAAAAAUAUUUAAACAUUAAUCUUUGAUGUUGCAGGAAGCAUGGAAAUUUCUUACCCUCCACAGCAAGAGAAAAACAAAGCUCCAACAUCAUGGACACAAGAGCUGUUGACAGAAAAUGAAAAGCACCUCAAAGAGAUACUGAUCAAAAGUCCAUUAUUCCUGAACACAGCAGAGGCACUUUUCAAACUCAACAUACCAGUUGGCAUUCUUCAUGCCAGUGACCAGAUUUAUCAAGAUAAGGUCUCUAAGCUCACAAUAGACUGUGCUUAUGAAGUAAUGAAUAGAAAAGGACGAAAACAAGAACUCAUCUUGAACAUAUCCAUCAGUUACACAAAGGUAAGGUCUUUAGAUGAUUUGGUCAAACAGUUGUAUAGGGAUUUUGAAGGGUUAAAAUUCUACGGAAUGAAUGAGAAUGAUGAAUGUGAUGCUGCUGAAAACCUGCUCAAAAUGCUCGAGAGAGACAUCAAAAUUACAGAUCCAAAUAUUAACUGUAUGUGGGACUUUGGGUGGAAUGAGGUGAUGUUUGCAUAUGUUGAAACAGAUGACAUUAUAAAGGAUGUGGAGGGACAUGUGGUUGAUGAACUCAUAGACGAAAUCAUAAGAGAAUUGUAACAUGAGAAGCUCCCGUCAAUGGUGUUAACUGGGUUGUUUUUUAAUACAUUUUGUAACAUGAGCUUCGCAUUGCCCAAUUGUGGUGUUGUAAAAAGGUAAAGUAUAUAAUUAUUUGUAAAGUUUUAUUUUGAAUUUGUUGCUAUAAUAUAUAUACUAGUUAUGUCCCGUGUCUCUGGCACUACAUAGAGGGUGAGAUUUAUUUCAAACUUUGGACGGUUUAAAUAAUUUAUUAAGG